UACGGAGGGUGCAAGCGUUGUUCGGAUUUACUGGGCUUAAAGGGUGUGUAGGCGGGUCGUCAAGUGUCUGGUGAAAGCCCGGGGCUCAACCCCGGGUCGGCCGUGCGAACUGGGUCACUCGAGCACUGUAGAGGCAGGUGGAAUUCCGGGAGUAGCGGUGGAAUGCGUAGAGAUCCGGAAGAACACCAGUGGCGAAGGCGGCCUGCUGGGCAGUAGCUGACGCUGAGGCGCGACAGCGUGGGGAGCAAACAGG
rnacentral:rRNA from 1 species